GUUCACAUGGCUAAAUAUUAAAUGGCAACCGAUAAAUAACAGAAAGAAGCUAGCCCAGCCCAGCCUCACAAGUCACAACCAUAAGCAAAGAGGGAUGUCUUGUCUUCUCAUUCACUGUAUUUACGGAAAACGCCAUUGAGCAGCUCUAGUUAUAUCAACCGACAUCGUGUCCGUUCUUUGGAAAGCGAUGUAUACGCCAUCGUAUUAUCAACUCAUCUUCUUCAAUAUUAAUUAAUUAAUUAAUUAAUUAUUAUUGCUGUUAAAUUCAAAGUUAAAAUAUUCAAAAAUAAGCUAAACAGAACAUGACUUGCAUGGGGGGUAGAGUUGUAUAAAUAUAGCAGAGAGAGAUUCCAAUCCAUUACAAGUCAUCUUCUUCUUCAUCCACUUUGCUGCUUUCUUAAUCUUCUAAAAAUAAACAAUUUCUAAAGAUAACAAUAACAGAGUCUUAAACGAGACAAAAGAAAGACAAAACCCUCUUGUUUCCCUGUUUCUCCGGAUUCUCUCCGAGGCCUCCGCGCUUCUUCCUUCUCCUCCUCUCGGAGAUGGAGAAACUUUCAUGAAAGCUUUGAGUUUUUUUUUUAAAUAAUAAUAAUUCAAACAUAUGGCUGUCGAAGAAAUGGAGAAGAAGAAAACCAAAGGAAGCAAUGAAAAAACAGAGUCCGAAGAUCCAUCGCCAAGAUGCGUGCUUGAGAUCCCAGCAACGAGUUCAGAUUCCGACAACAGCAGCAGUUGCAGCUCGUGCUCGCCUGAUAAAUCGUCGUCGUCGCCGUUGUCCACGACCGCUACGAACGGUCGUCAAUGGAACAAGAUGAUCGAGUCGAUCAAGAAGAAAUCCAUAAGGAGAUUCUCUGUUAUCCCUCUCCUCGCCAGCUACGAGCUCACGCGCAAGAACAUGCGGCGGAAACAGCCGAAGCUGUCUCCUCUUCCUGAUAACGUAUUCGACUGCGACCAGUUCCUUGUGGCUAAACCCUCGUGGCGUAAUUUCACUUACGAUGAGCUCGUCGCCGCCACCGACGGUUUUAAUGCUGAGAAAAUGAUUGGGAAAGGAGGACAUGCGGAGGUGUACAAAGGAGUUUUACCUGACGGAGAGAUCGUGGCGAUAAAGAGGCUUACGAGACACGCCAAUGAAGCAGAAGAGAGAGUCAGCGACUUCUUAUCUGAGCUAGGGAUGAUCGCACACGUUAACCACCCAAACGCAGCUAAGCUUCGCGGUUUCAGCUGCGAUCGCGGUUUGCAUUUUGUGCUUGAAUACGCUCCUCACGGCAGCCUCGCUUCUCUGCUCUUUGGGUCGUCUGAGGAGGAGUGUUUGGACUGGAAGAAACGGUAUAGAGUUGCUUUGGGUGUAGCUGAUGGUUUGAGUUAUCUUCAUAAUGAUUGCCCUCGACGUAUUAUCCACCGUGACAUUAAAGCUUCCAACAUUUUACUUAGUCAAGACUAUGAAGCUCAGAUAUCAGACUUUGGACUAGCUAAGUGGCUCCCAGAGAAUUGGCCUCAUCACAUUGUUUUCCCUAUCGAAGGCACAUUCGGGUAUCUAGCACCAGAGUACUUUAUGCAUGGGAUUGUUGAUGAGAAGACGGAUGUGUUUGCAUUUGGAGUGUUGCUUUUGGAGAUCAUAACUGGUCGUCGAGCUGUUGAUACAGCAAGCAGGCAAAGUAUAGUUAUGCGAAACCACUUCUGGAGAAGAGCAGCGUGGAGGAAAUAGUUGAUCCUAAGCUAGGAAAUGAGUUUGAUGAAACAGAGAUGAAAAGAGUGAUGCAAACAGCUUCAAUGUGCAUACACCAUGUAGCCGCUAUGCGUCCUGAUAUGAACCGGUUGGGGCAGCUACUGCGUGGAGGAGGAGAUGACCGGUUAGCUGAGACGCAGCAGAUAUCAAGAAGAAAGAGUCUGGACGGGUGUGACCUACAAGAUCACACCUCUUCCUCCUACCUUAACGAUCUCACUCGCCAUAGACAACUCUUGAUGGAGUGAAGUGAAGCAAUCUCAUCAAAUCAAUCAAUACACACAAACAAGAAGGAAGAAACAACAAUAGAAACGUUUCCUUUUCUUGCUUCAUCUACUCCAUUGUAAAGAAAUAUAUCUCCCAAAGAGGGAAAGUGUUGUAUGUAUGUAUAGUCUCUCAGCUUCAUGCUUUUUGUCUUUCAACAUGUGCUUUUUCCAUUAGUAACAACUAUCAAGAUAUGAGGAAGAUAUUCAUAAAUGAAAACAAGAGUUAUACU